rnacentral:rRNA from 1 species
UGGGGAAUUUUGGACAAUGGGCGAAAGCCUGAUCCAGCAAUGCCGCGUGUGUGAAGAAGGCCUUCGGGUUGUAAAGCACUUUUGUCCGGAAAGAAAUGGCUCUGGUUAAUACCUGGGGUCGAUGACGGUACCGGAAGAAUAAGGACCGGCUAACUACGUGCCAGCAGCCGCGGUAAUACGCAGGGUCCAAGCGUUAAUCGGAAUUACUGGGCGUAAAGCGUGCGCAGGCGGUUGUGCAAGACCGAUGUGAAAUCCCCGAGCUUAACUUGGGAAUUGCAUUGGUGACUGCACGGCUAGAGUGUGUAAGAGGGGGGUAGAAUUCCACGUGGAGCAGUGAAAUGCGUAGAGAUGUGGGGGAAUACCGAUGGCGAAGGCAGCCCCCUGGGAUAACACUGACGCUCAUGCACGAAAGCGUGGGGAGCAAACAGG